rnacentral:lncRNA from 1 species
UUCACAUGUGGUCUGAGUCAGUUUUAAGUGUAUUUUCUGUUGGAUCAUUCAUCACUUAUAUGUUGUUCAACACUUGCACUUUCAUUCAAUGUGAGGCUUUAUCCUCUAGAUGCUUUGUUUUUUGUAUGGUUCUUAACUGUUUGGGUUCUUACAAUCNNNNNNNNNNNNNNNNNNNNNNNNNAUUCUCCAGGAUUUCUCAAGACUAUUCAACAAGCUGUAAGAAUGAUCUUUCAAUUUUUAACGAUUGUGAUUGAUAAGAACUUAAUUAAUUGUUGUUGGUACUUUGAAUUGAAUUGAGUUAUUGUUGAGUACCUUGAACUAAAUUGACUAGGAGAAUUCUUCUUAGUGAAAAGGUAUGUUCAAUUCACUGAUUUGGUGUAUUUGCAAUUUUGUUCUAUUUUGAACCAGAACACACUUUCUGUUUACUUAUCCCCACGUUUAAAUGGAAAGUUGCAGCUGUAGCAGCAUAUAGCUGAAUUAGAAUUUGAAGCAAUUGAUAGUUUACAAGAAUGAUGUGCUCAAGUUUUUUUUCCUUCUUUUUUCUAUAUGUUUGAAUUAGAAUUUGAAGGACAGAGUUUUCUUGUGAAUAUAUGUUAUGUCGCAGGAAGCAUGGAGCGGUUGCUAAGAAGAUUUUUGUCCUGAUUAUGUUUUGUUACUAGAAGAUUUCAUGGUAAAUAUGUUUUGUUACUAGAAGAUUCUUGUCCUGAUUAUAUGCUCAACAUAUUAUUCCUUAAUGGUGAUAGCUCUAACUUGGUUUCUUCAUCUACAAUAUCAUAUGACUUCUAUUUAAUAUUGUGGUUUGAUCAUUACAUAACUGAGGAGUGUUUGCAGGUACUUGUUGGAAUUGUUUUGCUGCAGGUACUAGGUACUUUUUGGUUUAUUUGGUCAAAGAGCCUUCUUGUUUGGAGUGUCUCCACCACAUGAUACAAUAAUGGAUAAACUUUCUGCUGGAUGAAAGGAAUCUAGGAGGUGUUGGAGUCUCUUAUAGAGUUACAAAGUGUAUUAGAAUGAAAAAAAAUAAGCUGGAGUCUCUUAUAGAGUUACCUAGUGUAUUAGAAUGAAAAAAACUAAGCUGUAUAUAGAUAUAAUUUAUGUUUGUCUGUAUUGUAUUGACCAUUCCUAUGUUACCAAUUGUGUGAUUCUUGAUUUUUAUAAGAAUUUAAUUUACUAAUAUGUUUAGUUA